rnacentral:rRNA from 1 species
GAGUAAUGUCUGGGAAACUGCCCGAUGGAGGGGGAUAACUACUGGAAACGGUAGCUAAUACCGCAUAACGUCGCAAGACCAAAGAGGGGGACCUUCGGGCCUCUUGCCAUCGGAUGUGCCCAGAUGGGAUUAGCUAGUAGGUGGGGUAACGGCUCACCUAGGCGACGAUCCCUAGCUGGUCUGAGAGGAUGACCAGCCACACUGGAACUGAGACACGGUCCAGACUCCUACGGGAGGCAGCAGUGGGGAAUAUUGCACAAUGGGCGCAAGCCUGAUGCAGCCAUGCCGCGUGUAUGAAGAAGGCCUUCGGGUUGUAAAGUACUUUCAGCGAGGAGGAAGGCAUUGUGGUUAAUAACCGCAGUGAUUGACGUUACUCGCAGAAGAAGCACCGGCUAACUCCGUGCCAGCAGCCGCGGUAAUACGGAGGGUGCAAGCGUUAAUCGGAAUUACUGGGCGUAAAGCGCACGCAGGCGGUCUGUCAAGUCGGAUGUGAAAUCCCCGGGCUCAACCUGGGAACUGCAUCCGAAACUGGCAGGCUAGAGUCUUGUAGA